GAUGAAGAACGUAGCGAAAUGCGAUAAGUAAUGCGAAUUGCAGAAUUCGGUGAAUCAUCGAAUCUUUGAACGCACAUUGCGCCCGCCAGUACUCUGGCGGGCAUGCCUGUCUGAGCGUCAUUUCAACCCUCGCGCCCGGCUUCUGUCGGGGGCGGUGUUGGGGAUCGGCCUCCCGUCUUCCGGGCGGCCGGCCCCUAAAUGGAGUGGCGACCGCGCCGUAGCCUCCUCUGCGUAGUAGUGAAACACUCGCGGGCGGAGAGCGGUGCGGCCCGCCGUAAAACCCCCAACUCUUCUAAGGUUGACCUCAGAUCAGGUAGGAAUACCCGCUGAACUUAAGCAUAUCAAUAAGCGGAGGA
rnacentral:misc_RNA from 1 species